UUGAGUGCUUCCGGGGUGGGGCUUACGUUUGACUGACAGCCCCGCAGACCAAUCAUCGCGCUCUUCCCGCUAACCAGCGCCACUCGACGAGUGACAAUGGCGUAGCAGAGGAGCGGGAGGGGACGCGUUUUGUUCCCGGACUCCCUUUGCCCCUUUCCCCUUCUGCGGAGAAGGUCUGUGUUUCAAUUACAGACACUUCCUCGACGGGGUUUAGUCGUUUGACAAGACGGAAAGCGAACAAAGCGGUCGGUGUGACCGUGGAAGAAGAAGUCCUCCAGCCAUUGUUUAGCAGUGUGUGCUAAGCUGCUGCAAACAUCUCUUCAUCAUCAUCAUCAUCCUCAUCCUCUGCAGCAUCCUUCUUCUGCAUCAUCACCACUUACCUUUAAGGAUGGAUGCACUGGCGAGGGCGCCUGAUCCAGACUGGACGGACUGCGCUCGGACCGCCGCUGCCUCGCUGGUCUGUGGUGAACUGUGAACAUGACCUCCAUGGGGAGGUCGGGGCCUGAGCGAGGGGGGUUUCUUCAGCCCCCCCAGGCCUCCACCAGAGUGAGGAUGUUGAGUCAAACAUAGUUUGUUUUAUUUCAAUCGUUUUUCCUGUAAAGACACAAAAUACUGUAGCAGCUCAUCAUCAACAUCAGUGCUACCUCCUAGCCAACAUAAUGCUAAGCAGCAGAAACAAAAUUAAUGAGCACUUUUGUUUUGUUGUUUUUUUACACAAAAUUAUCUGCGGUUUUUUUGUCAUCUUCUUUGCUAGAAACGGAAUUAGUCUCCUGGUUUGGUCGUCUUUUGACAUUCUUACCCCAUUUCAUGAUGCUGUGCCAGGCCACCUUUUCCUGAUUUCAAAAAAGGUACUUUUUGUAUCAGAAGCGAUCCGGGAUGUGUGCAAUAUUGAAUCUAAACUGUCAUGUUGUUGACCAAGCUGUAUAUUGUGUAAACGAGUGACACGUUGUUUGACAAAGCAACAAAAUCACCAACGUCUUCCAUUAAAGAUUUGUAUAGUCUCACAUUAGAGCUCAUUUGAGGCCCUCUAGAAUGUAGUCACCAUGCAUGACCAGUAGUGAUCGAUUUAUGCUUCAUGGGCAGUAGUGAGCACAACGAACAACACUUUUGGACUUUUUAGGGCUGAUUUCACACUUAAAAUUCGCCUUUUUAAUUUUUUUUUAGACCCGAAUGGGUUUGGAAACAUUUAGUUUCAGCUCACACCGGUCCAAAAAAAACCCAGUGUACUUUAAUGCGUCACAGUACGCCACGUGACGUUGUUCUCUUUUCCUAUUGGCUAGCGGUGCUCAUUAACGGCGAGAAGGAACGUCGCUAUCAUAAACAGGAAGAAGGGACGUCGCUAACGUGUCCUUUAUUGAUAACUUCAACAAACAUAGGAACAUACGAGCAGACCGCAGUACUCCACUAAAUAGCCGAGCACUUAAUUAAAGAGGACGUCGCCGAGAAAUUGUUCUCCUUCUCACACCGGAAAGACGAAGUAAGUGACGUAAAGGACACUCGUGCUGUUUUUUUUGCUGAGUCAGGCGGUCAGUUUGCUUUCAUUCCUCUUUUUAGUGUGUUAGAGAUUUAUUUAUCAUCAACUAUAUCCUUAUCUAUACUAUUAUGCUUGACAGUUUUAUAAUUAUUUAAGUUGUCAAAAAAAAACAAUAGUUUUUGCUGUUUUAUUUGCUACUCCGACCUUCUUCCGGUCACGUGAUGUAGUUAUAUUUCCUUGUUUCUUUUUGCGAAGGAACGUCGCAUAUGUACCUCAUUUAUAACUUCAAUAAUAAUUACCUAAAGUCUAAGGUUAAAAAAUUAUUUCUUCUUUUUUAGUGGGUUAAGGCUGAGGGAUUAUUUACCCGAUUUUGCUUAACGGUUCAUAUAAUUGUUUCGAGGUGUCAAAAAAAAGCCAAAUGGUCUUCCUGUUUACUUCAUUACGUUGACCAAUGGGAGAAGAGAGCGAUGUCACGUGGCUCGGUCGCAUAGAAUUGUUAUUUACUAACACGUCAACAGAUGGUACGUAGGGCCUAAAUACAUAGAUGUCAAUUUUAUGUAAAAUAACUAGGGAUGUCCAAUAAUGGCUUCUUGCCGAUAUCCGAUAUUGUCCAACUCUUAAUUAAUCGAUACCGAUAUCAACCUAUGCCGAUAUCAACCGAUACUGAUCUAUAUAGUCGUGGAAUUAACACAUUAUGCCUAAUUUGGACAACCAGGUAUGGUGAAGAUGAGGUCCUUUUUAAAGAAAUUGAUCAAAUAAAAUAAGAUAAAUAAAUUAAAAACAUUUUCUUGAAUAUAAAAGAAAGUAAAACAAUAUAAAAACAGUUACAUAGAAACUAGUAAUUAAUGAAAAUGAGUAAAAUUAACUGUUAAAGGUUAGUACUAUUAGUGGACCAGCAGCACGCGCAAUCAUGUGUGCUUACGGACUGUAUCCCUUGCAGACUAUUGAUAUAUAUUGAUAUAUAAUGUAGGAACCAGAAUAUUCAUAACAGAAGUGAAUUAUAUUUAUAUAGCGCUUUUCUCUAGUGACUCAAAGCGCUUUACAUAGUGAAACCCAAUAACAGAAAGAAACAACCCUUUUGUGUGAAUGAGUGUAAAUGGGGGAGGGAGGUUUUUUGGGUUGGUGCACUAAUUGUGUUUUUUAUGUUGAUUUAUAAAAAAAACACACAAAAAAAACCGAUACCGAUAAUAAAAAAACGAUACCGAUAAUUUCCGAUAUUACAUUUUAAAGCAUUUAUCGGCCGAUAUCGGACAUCUCUAAAAAUAAAAUGUAAUCAUUGAGUUAAUAAUUGAUUAUUUUGUAUUAUUAUCACAAUUUAAUUCAUUUAUUUAAAUAUUUACAUAAUUAAUACACAGGUAAUUAUUUAAUUUUGUCUCAUUUGGCCCGCCAUUUGAUUGAAGCAAAAUACACCCGUUUUUUUAAGUGUGAAAGCAUCCCGUAAAUAUUUGCCCUUAAAAAAAAAAGGCAUAGUUCAAAUGUGAUAAGAGUAUAUAAUUAAAUUAACUGAUGCAUGUUUAAUAAUUAGUGUAUUUAAAGAAGGUUCUAUUCCAAAAACUAUUAUAAUUGUAGCAGUAUUCAUUCACUAGAAUUUAAAAAUGUAUUAUUUUCCCCCUCCUAGUGGCAUUGUGUUGUGUAUAUACAACCCCACUAUUUGGGAAAGGAAUCCAUAAAAUUGUACAGGAUUAGGCUUGUAGAACUACUAAUAAUGCAGUAUUAAUGCAUGAGUAUAGUGUGAGGGUGUCAAUGUUUUACUCCCUCUCUUGUAGCUUCAUAUAAUCACAUCUUUUCAGUGGAUUUGGGGAUUAUCCCUGUAGAUAAAUGUUUGUUUUCCUGUAUUUGUUACAAAACAUGUCCUAUCGACCCAUCAUUCCAAAAAGAAGCACUUUCUAUGUACUGCCUUGCACUGUCUUUAAAAUACAUAAUGCUUUGAAGGACUUUUGAAGUUUUUUUUGCGAGUAGGCACAUAGUAGCGGUAUUAUGGAGUUUAAAAAAAACAAAACAUAUGCAUGGUUUAGCAGACAUGAUUGUAAUGCAUGCAAUAAUCCAACUUUGUCAUGUGAACGAGGAUGGUUGUUUGUAAUCGUAGCAGGCAUGUUGUAGCUUUUAUUCCCCUCCCAAAAAGGCGCACAAAAAAAGUGUGUCAACAAAAAUGAAGAUGAGGAUAUUGUUGACUGACUCUGUAAAAGUGAAAAAAACUAUGCACUCCAGAAUGAUGUAAGGGGGCAUGCUUAUAUUAACGUUAGCAUCUUGAAUGGUUUUUGUACAAACAAAUGAAGACUCCGUAUUAGAAACGCAGCAAUAAUAACUAUCAUGUAUUAAUAAAAAUGCAGCAUGGUGCCAACAACAA